AAGUUCCCAUCUUUCGCAUCCAACCUAUUUCAUCUUCCCCAUCUAUCUAACUCCUUCGGCCCUGUUUGGUGGCUGGAUUGGACUGCACUUUUUCAAUUAAAAUGGAUUACAAUCCUGUCUGUCGUUUGGCGAGCUUAAAUGCACAAUGGGACUGGUCUGGACUCAUAUUUUCAACGGGAUAACAGUCCAGCAAACCCUAGUAUUGAAAACCCGAGGGGAACCACAAGUUUAGAAUGACAUCGCCUCCGCCUCUUUUCUCCUUACGGCCUUCGCUUCCUCUCUCCUUCGUUCUUCUACGCCCCUGCCUUCACCUCUGCUUUUUCAAUUGUCUACCUUCCUCCUCCCCCUCCUCCUCCUCCUCGGCUCUUCUCCUCGGCUAUUAGCUAUUUCAUAUCCAGAAGUGUUGGAUCCUGAGCAAGCAGUGAAAGGGCUAGCUAGUAAUCUAAUUACUAAUACUAUUAGUUGGAUAUGCUAUAUGUUUUCCCUUCAAAAUUCUAGAUUUAGUAGGGUUGGCAUACACUAUCAUGACCUGAUAUAUUUUCAGUGUGUUUUAAUUACUGGCUAUUAGGGUAUGGUUUGAAACUUUGACUGAUGGGGUGGGGGAGCUUGGACGGAGUUUUCUUGUUUUUGUGAAGUGGGUUUUGGAGGAUUAGGGAUUAAGGGGAGUGUGUGAGUUUGCUGUUUUGGUGGAAGAUAUAUGCAGAAUGGUAAUGAUGAUGAUGGGGGUAAUGAACAAUUGAGUUGACAUGCUACUGGGAGAAUUGUUUGCAAUGCAAAGAAGACUUGUCUCUGACUUUUGUGAUGAUGAACUGGGUUGUAGCUAGCAAUUUUGACAUAAGGGUUGAGUUGAAAUUGAAAUAAAAAAGGAAUGAAACAUUUGCAGCAUUUAUGUUAGGACAAAAAAUUGCAACUUGCUAUUGAACCAAAAGGGAACUGCUGAAAGUGGGUCUAAGCAGCAGCAACAACAACCCAACAGGGUAGACAUGGAUCGAAAGAGAAAGAGGAAGAUUGUGACAACUCUAGUUGCAGUAGAGUUAGAGAAACAACGUAUGUGUGCAUCCAUGAUGUUAGUAACUGUCAUAUAUGCUUUGAUAGCAUGGUACUAUGAAUUUUGGGACUAUUUUUAUGGUAUCUUCAUGUGAUUUCUUAUUUUUAAUUU